rnacentral:rRNA from 1 species
AGUGAACGCUGGCGGUAGGCCUAACACAUGCAAGUCGAACGGCAGCACAGUAAGAGCUUGCUCUUACGGGUGGCGAGUGGCGGACGGGUGAGGAAUACAUCGGAAUCUACUUUUUCGUGGGGGAUAACGUAGGGAAACUUACGCUAAUACCGCAUACGACCUACGGGUGAAAGCAGGGGAUCUUCGGACCUUGCGCGAUUGAAUGAGCCGAUGUCGGAUUAGUUAGUUGGCGGGGUAAAGGCCCCCCAAGGCGACGAUCCGUAGCUGGUCUGAGAGGAUGAUCAGCCACACUGGAACUGCGACACGGUCCAGACUCCUACGGGAGGCAGCAGUGGGGAAUAUUGGACAAUGGGCGCAAGCCUGAUCCAGCCAUACCGCGUGGGUGAAGAAGGCCUUCGGGUUGUAAAGCCCUUUUGUUGGGAAAGAAAAGCAGCAGGUUAAUACCCCGCUGUUCUGACGGUACCCAAAGAAUAAGCACCGGCUAACUUCGUG